UUAACACAUGCAAGUCGAGGGGUAACAGGUUCCUUCGGGAAUGCUGACGACCGGCGCACGGGUGAGUAACGCGUAUGCAACCUUCCUGUAUCAGGAGGAUAGGGCCUUGGAAACGAGGAUUAAUACUGCGUAAAAUUAUUGUAUCGCAUGGUAUAAUAAUCAAAUCUACGGAGGAUACAGAUGGGCAUGCGUGCCAUUAGCUAGAUGGUAAGGUAACGGCUUACCAUGGCAAUGACGGCUAGGGGUUCUGCAAGGAAGAUCCCCCACACUGGUACUGAGACACGGACCAGACUCCUACGGGAGGCAGCAGUGAGGAAUAUUGGUCAAUGGAGGCAACUCUGAACCAGCCAAGCCGCGUGAAGGAAGACUGUUCUAUGAAUCGUAAACUUCUGUCGUGACAGAGUCGCGAUGACUACGUGUAGUUGUCUGCCAGUAUGUCAUGAAUACGCAUCGGCUAACUCCGUGCCAGCAGCCGCGGUAAUACGGAGGAUGCAGGCGUUAUCCGGAUUCAUUAGGCUUACAGGGUGUUCAGGCUGUCUGGUA
rnacentral:rRNA from 1 species